rnacentral:snRNA from 1 species
AACAACUAAACACUAUGAAA